rnacentral:rRNA from 1 species
AUAUCAAUAAGCGGAGGAAAAGAAACCAACAGGGAUUACCUUAGUAACGGCGAGUGAAGCGGUAAUAGCUCAAAUUUGAAAUCUGACUCUUCGAGUCCGAGUUGUAAUUUGUAGAGGAUGUUUCGGGUCCAAUUUCGGUUUAAAUUUCUUGGAACAGAAUGUCAUAGAGGGUGAGAAUCCCGUCUAUAACCGUCUAUUGUGCCCAUGUGAAACUCCUUCGACGAGUCGAGUUGUUUGGGAAUGCAGCUCUAAAUGGGAGGUAAAUUUCUUCUAAAGCUAAAUAUUGGCCAGAGACCGAUAGCGCACAAGUAGAGUGAUCGAAAGAUGAAAAGCACUUUGAAAAGAGAGUUAAACAGUAUGUGAAAUUGUUGAAAGGGAAGCGCUUGCAAUCAGACUUGCAUUUAACAUUCCCCCAUUGUUUUCAAUGGGUCAUUUUGUCAAAUUCAGGCCAGCAUCAGUUUGAGUGGUUAGUUAAAGACCUUGGGAAUGUAUCUACUCUCGAGUAGACUUAUAGCCUUUGGUGAAAUGUGACCUACUUAGACUGAGGAACGCGCUUCAUGCUCGGAUGCUGGCGUAAUGGUUGUAAGCGACCCGUCUUGAAACACGGACCAAGGAGUCUAACAUCUAUGCGAGUGUUCGGGUGUCAAACCCCUACGCGUAAUGAAAGUGAACGGAGGUAAGAACCUUUUAGGUGCAUUAUCGACCGAUCCUGAUGUCUUCGGAUGGAUUUGAGUAAGAGCAUAGCUGUUGGGACCCGAAAGAUGGUGAACUAUGCCUGAAUAGGGUGAAGCCAGAGGAAACUCUGGUGGAGGCUCGCAGCGGUUCUGACGUGCAAAUCGAUCGUCAAAUUUGGGUAUAGGGGCGAAAGUGAUCCAUUCUGACCCUUCUUUCGCUAUAUCAGUUUGUCAUCGACAACUAUUUAGUCAGUAAUAUGGCGAGGCUUUUGGUCUGCGGGGAUAUCCUAUGGAUUGCCCGCACCUGUCUUUUCGAUGCAAGAUAGGUCACAGAUUAAGUGGAAGCCGGUAGAUCUCUUAACGAAACAAGAUCUAUUUGAGAUAUAAUCGGCCAUUGAGGUAACCCUCGGUUGAAAAAGCGGACUAAUCGAACCAUCUGGUAGCUGGUUCCUGCCGAAGUUUCCCUCAGGAUAGCAGUAACGUUUUUCAGUUUUAUGAGGUAAAGCGAAUGAUUAGAGGCCUUGGGGUUGAAACAACCUUAACCUAUUCUCAAACUUUAAAUAUGUAAGAAGUCCUUGUUACUUAAUUGAACGUGGACAUUUGAAUGUAUCGUUACUAGUGGGCCAUUUUUGGUAAGCAGAACUGGCGAUGCGGGAUGAACCGAACGUGAGGUUAAGGUGCCGGAAUAUACGCUCAUCAGACACCACAAAAGGUGUCAAUGCAUCUAGACAGUCCGACGGUGGCCAUGGAAGUCGGAAUCCGCUAAGGAGUUGACCAAGGUCACACACAAAGGAAGUGUUGUCCCUUACAUGCUCCUUAAGCAAUUGAUAGAGGGAUCUCUGUGCAAAGUGAUUUCCUCAACUGUUCUCAAAUCGCUGAAAAUCCUCAAUUGGAUUAUGGCGAACCUAAUUGUUUGAUUAAAUCAAACCGUAGGUCCACAGACUAAACGGAACAGACCAAGUUUUUCCCAGUUAAAACUUGGGCAGAUAUAGUCGGUUAAUUAGAUCACUCUAAUUAAGAUGUCGGUGUAAUAACUCACGGACCGAAUGCAUUGGCCCUGAAAAUGGAUGGCGCUUAAGCGUGUUACCUAUACCUCGCCGUUAAAGUUAUAAUGAUGCUUUAACGAGUAGGCAGGCGUGGAGAUUUGUGACGAAGC